rnacentral:rRNA from 1 species
CCUACGGGGGGCAGCAGCGAGGGAUUUUCGGCAAUGGGCGCAAGCCUGACCGAGCAACGCCGCGUGCGGGACGACGCCCUUCGGGGUGUAAACCGCUUUUGCCUGGGGCGAGGAUGACGGUACCAGGCGAAUCAGUCUCGGCUAACUACGUGCCAGCAGCCGCGGUAAGACGUAGGAGACGAGCGUUGUCCGGAUUUACUGGGCGUAAAGCGCGCGCAGGCGGUCUGGCAGGUCGCGUGUGAAAGCCCCCGGCUCAACCGGGUGGAUGCGGGCGA